CAUUAAUUAACAUUUUCACCCUUCCAAAGAAAAUGAAAAAUUCUAAUAUCAAACAACCUUUUUUAGGCUGCACCUUAAAUUUGUGCUAAUUUAAAGUAAAUACAAGUAAAAUUGGAACAAGUAAAAAUUUUUUUAUCUGAGCACCAACUAGCUUGUAAAGAUUGUUCUUCAUGGACUUGCAAUAAUGGCCAAAAGUACAGAAUAGCAAAACAGGAAACGAAUUUUCCCCUUUUUGCAAAAGAAUAAACCAAACAGAACGAUACUUGAUU
rnacentral:misc_RNA from 1 species